rnacentral:rRNA from 1 species
GAUGAACGCUGGCGGCGUGCUUAACACAUGCAAGUCGAACGAGAAGUGAAGACGGAAACCUUCGGGCGGAAGGCUUUAUUUCGAGUGGCGGACGGGUGAGUAACGCGUGGGUAACCUGCCUCAUACAGGGGGAUAACAGUUGGAAACGACUGUUAAUACCGCAUAAGACCACAGCACCGCAUGGUGCGGGGGUAAAAACUCCGGUGGUAUGAGAUGGACCCGCGUUCGAUUAGCCAGUUGGCGGGGUAACGGCCCACCAAAGCGACGAUCGAUAGCCGAUCUGAGAGGAUGACCGGCCACAUUGGGACUGAGACACGGCCCAAACUCCUACGAGAGGCAGCAGUGGGGAAUAUUGCACAAUGGGGGAAACCCUGAUGCAGCGACGCCGCGUGAGUGAAGAAGUAUUUCGGUAUGUAAAGCUCUAUCAGCAGGGAAGAAAAUGACGGUACCUGAGUAAGAAGCCCCGGCUAACUACGUG